UAAGGAAUAUUGGACAAUGGAGGCAACUCUGAUCCAGCCAUGCCGCGUGAAGGAAUAAGGCCCUAUGGGUUGUAAACUUCUUUUAGACGGGACAAAACCCCUUUACGUGUAAAGGGUUGAUGGUACUGUCAGAAUAAGCAUCGGCUAACUUCGUGCCAGCAGCCGCGGUAAUACGAAGGAUGCAAGCGUUAUCCGGAAUUAUUGGGUUUAAAGGGUGCGUAGGCGGACUAAUAAGUCAGUGGUGAAAGCCUGCAGCUUAACUGCAGAAUUGCCAUUGAUACUGUUAGUCUUGAGUACAGUUGAGGUAGGCGGAAUGUGUCAUGUAGCGGUGAAAUGCUUAGAUAUGACACAGAACACCGAUUGCGAAGGCAGCUUGCUAAGCUGUAACUGACGCUGAGGCACGAAAGCGUGGGAGCAAACA
rnacentral:rRNA from 1 species